CCGAGUGAAUCCCAUUCUCCGGCAGGGGAGCACCGGGCCAGCAAGCCGCCCAGGAAGAGCGGGCUUCAGGUGUCAGCGUCAGGGGGGCACCGAGGAGAUGGCCAAAUCCACCGGGGCUUGGGGGGAACUCGUGCAAGGGCCCCAGGGUCACCAGAGGGUGGACAGUACCAAGGCCCAUCCAUCCAUCCAUCCAUCCAUCUAUCCAUCCAACCAAGGCAGCAAGGAAAAUUCUGGAACUGUCGACGGACGGCAAGCCGUGGGUAGGGGGGGGUGCCGGUGACCUGGGGGGGCGGGGCAGCUGGUGUUGUGAAUCAGGCCGCCGAAGUGAAGCCCGGCUACUUCCCAACACCAGGGUCACACCCUCACCGCGAUCGGCAGCUGCGGGGGGGACGCCCAUGCGACAGCGCGCAGCUCUGCUGAGAAGAUGUGGCCAUGUCGCAGGUUUUGAGCUUUUAUGCGCUGACACCUGAAGAACGCAACUUCACUCCACAUCAGUGAAUCCAUCAAAAGUCUUGCAUGUUUCUUAAAUUUUGCGUUGAAAUUGUCACUCCAUUGUCUUUACCUUGAAGAAGGGAAAAAUCCAGAUGGCCACAGUGGAGAAGAAGCCCCCCCCCCCCCGAACUGAGAGAGGAGGCACAGAGACAGUGUGUCUGUAAAGCUGCAGCUCCAUGCUUGUGCUGGGGGGGUUAGGGUAAUUUUGGACUGAAUGACUGCUAACAAAAUGUUGUUGUGGAUCGUUUGUAAUUAGAUUUCAUUUAUAGGUGUAUUUUUGUGUAUAUGUUUGAGCAUAUAAUAGGUUUUUGAGGACAGUUUAUUGCACUUGAUUGAAUACAUUUAAAUAUUGUUUUGCUUUUGGAUUUGUCUUUUAUACAAUUCUGAAAUUUAAUGAUAAUUUGAGUAUUAUGCAAAUACACUUCAAUAUAUGUAUAUAAAUCUGAUGGUUUUGGAUGUCACAUGCAUUGUUGGUCUCAUGAAAAAUGUAUUUCCCUAAAAACUUUGCUUCAUGAGCCUUUUGGUUCAAUAUUAGCCUCGCUUUCACUUCCUGUUCCUGGAGCUCUUUUGCGGGGGUCACGAACACAGCAGCUCGUUUUCACAAUUGGUAUUUUCAGCACAUUUCACAUGUUGCUAUCCUGUUUAUUUCUAUUCAUAUCUGCGUUCAUACUCGGCUGCACGCUUGGAACCUGAAACAGUGUGGUAGGACAAGGUUAUAUCGUAUUUACACUUUCAAAUCUUGCAAAUCUGAUUUGAUCCCGGCUGUAGAAAAUAUUUCAUUAUCUUGCAAUACAGGGAUGGUGCUGAAGUUGCUCUCGAGCUCCCCCUAGAGGCCAACUUGCUCUUCACUCUUUGGGUGGUUCACUUGCGACAUUGUGGUUCUACUCAAAGAGGUUUAUACCGAUUAUGAAAAAUAAAUACUAAUUAUUACAAUUAUGACAAGCGUCACAACCAGAACCCCCAGUGCUGACAAAUCACAAAAUAAAUAUACAGAC